AUUAAACGCUGGCGGCAUGCCUUACACAUGCAAGUCGAACGGCAGCACGGGGGCAACCCUGGUGGCGAGUGGCGAACGGGUGAGUAAAGCAUCGGAACGUGCCCUGGAGUGGGGGAUAACGUAGCGAAAGUUACGCUAAUACCGCAUAUUCUGUGAGCAGGAAAGCAGGGGAUCGCAAGACCUUGCGCUCUGGGAGCGGCCGAUGUCGGAUUAGCUAGUUGGUGGGGUAAAGGCCUACCAAGGCGACGAUCCGUAGCGGGUCUGAGAGGAUGAUCCGCCACACUGGGACUGAGACACGGCCCAGACUCCUACGGGAGGCAGCAGUGGGGAAUUUUGGACAAUGGGCGGAAGCCUGAUCCAGCCAUGCCGCGUGAGUGAAGAAGGCC
rnacentral:rRNA from 1 species